GAUGAAGAACGUAGCGAAAUGCGAUAAGUAGUGUGAAUUGCAGAAUUCAGUGAAUCAUCGAAUCUUUGAACGCACAUUGCGCCCUUUGGUAUUCCAAAGGGCAUGCCUGUUCGAGCGUCAUUUGUACCCUCAAGCUUUGCUUGGUGUUGGGCGUCUUGUCUCUAGCUUUGCUGGAGACUCGCCUUAAAGUAAUUGGCAGCCGGCCUACUGGUUUCGGAGCGCAACACAAGUCGCACUCUCUAUCAGCAAAGGUCUAGCAUCCAUUAAGCCUUUUUUUCAACUUUUGACCUCGGAUCAGGUAGGGAUACCCGCUGAACUUAAGCAUAUCAAUAAGCGGAGGA
rnacentral:misc_RNA from 1 species